GACUCAAAGCAUUUGAUCACCACUUAACCCCACCACCAGCCCCAUCCUUUAUAUCUCGAGCAAAUGAGACUCACCUCCAGAGUAGGAAGGAGCAGCAGUCUUGGCCACAGAAAUGGAAGCUGGUGCCAUUUUCCACUUCACAGCAGGAGUUGCCAUGGGACAGGGAAAGGGGAAAAGAGUGAAACAAGUAAAACAAGAGAGGGAUGUUUUAGUUCCCAGGAGACAAGGACCCAGCUGAAGAGACA